GGAAAAAAACUUUAAAAAGAGACUAUGAAUUUCUUGCUGUUUUUCUUUUCCCUGAUAGCCAUGCCAAAACGGUCACUUUCUGAGGUUCAACUUGUGUCAUCGGGGCCAGGAACUGUAAGACCAGGGCAAAACCUCAAUUUGGUCUGUAAAGUUACUGGUGUCUCCAUCACGAGUAGCAGCUAUGCUUGGCACUGGGUCCGUCAGCCUCCAGGGAAAGGCUUAGAAUGGAUUGCCUAUAUCUACCCUUAUGAUGGCAGCAAACGGUACUCAUCUUCUCUUCAAAGCCGCACCACCAUUGCUUCAGACAACUCCAAGAAUGAAUAUUCCCUUCAGUUGAACUCCGUGUCAGCUUCUGACACUGCCGUGUAUUAUUGUGCCAGUGAUACACACUGA